rnacentral:rRNA from 1 species
GAGUUUGAUCCUGGCUCAGGAUGAACGCUGGCGGCGUGCCUAAUACAUGCAAGUCGAGCGAACGGACGAGAAGCUUGCUUCUCUGAUGUUAGCGGCGGACGGGUGAGUAACACGUGGAUAACCUACCUAUAAGACUGGGAUAACUUCGGGAAACCGGAGCUAAUACCGGAUAAUAUUUUGAACCGCAUGGUUCAAAAGUAAAGACGGUCUUGCUGUCACUUAUAGAUGGAUCCGCGCUGCAUUAGCUAGUUGGUAAGGUAACGGCUUACCAAGGCAACGAUGCAUAGCCGACCUGAGAGGGUGAUCGGCCACACUGGAACUGAGACACGGUCCAGACUCCUACGGGAGGCAGCAGUAGGGAAUCUUCCGCAAUGGGCGAAAGCCUGACGGAGCAACGCCGCGUGAGUGAUGAAGGUCUUCGGAUCGUAAAACUCUGUUAUUAGGGAAGAACAUAUGUGUAAGUAACUGUGCACAUCUUGACGGUACCU